UUCCUACGGGGCGCAGCAGUGAGGAAUAUUGGUCAAUGGGCGAGAGCCUGAACCAGCCAAGUCGCGUGAGGGAGUACUGCCCUAUGGGUUGUAAACCUCUUUUGUCGGGGAGCAAAAGCCGGACGUGUCCGGCUGUGAGAGUACCCGAAGAAAAAGCAUCGGCUAACUCCGUGCCAGCAGCCGCGGUAAUACGGAGGAUGCGAGCGUUAUCCGGAUUUAUUGGGUUUAAAGGGUGCGCAGGCGGGAGAUCAAGUCAGCGGUAAAAUGUCGGGGCUCAACCCCGGCCGGCCGUUGAAACUGGUUUU
rnacentral:rRNA from 1 species